rnacentral:rRNA from 1 species
CGUUCAGGGGUAAACCUGAGAAACCCGAAAGGUCGAAUGGGGAGAUUCAUUCGCGAACCGAACCGUCGGUGUGAGUCGUUGGAGUGACGGCGGCGUUCGCGCCGUUCGCGCCCUUCGUCUUACGAGCCGAUUUCGGACGCGUGCACUUCUCCCCUAGUAGGACGUCGCGAUCCGUUGAGUGCCGGUCUACGGCCCGCAGUGUAGCCCGCGAGCGCGGUUCGCCGUCGCUUUCGGACACGCGGUUGCCCGACCGGCUCGCUCGACGGUUCAUAGAUGGCGGGAGGCCGCGACUUAAGUUCGCGUCCGACCCGCGGCAAGCUCGCACGCUGUGUCGGCCAUCGGACCUAGUGCCGAUUCCGGCCGCUGGCGGCUGUUCGCCGUGGUGUUCUCGGACAGACCUCUUUGAAACGCCGAUCGGCGACGCUAUAGCUUUGGGUACUUUCAGGACCCGUCUUGAAACACGGACCAAGGAGUCUAGCGUGUGCGCGAGUCAUUGGGAUAACACUAAACCUAAAGGCGCAAUGAAAGUGAAAGUUCGUCUUGCACGAACAGAGGGAAGACGGUCGGUCUCGAUGACCGGCCCGCACUCCCGGGGCGUCUCAUUCUCAUUGCGAGAGGAGGCGCACCAAGAGCGUACACGCUGGGACCCGAAAGAUGGUGAACUAUGCCUGGUCAGGACGAAGUCAGGGGAAACCCUGAUGGAGGUCCGUAGCGAUUCUGACGUGCAAAUCGAUCGUAAGAACUUGGUAUAGGGGCGAAAGACUAAUCGAACUAUC